rnacentral:rRNA from 1 species
GAUGAACGCUGGCGGCGUGCCUAAUACAUGCAAGUCGAGCGAACAGACGAGGAGCUUGCUCCUCUGACGUUAGCGGCGGACGGGUGAGUAACACGUGGAUAACCUACCUAUAAGACUGGGAUCACUUCGGGAAACCGGAGCUAACACCGGAUAAUAUAUUGAACCGCAUGGUUCAAUGGAGAAAGACGGUUUUGCUGUCACUUAUAGAUGGAUCCGCGCCGCAUUAGCUAGUUGGUAGGGUAACGGCUUACCAAGGCGACGAUGCGUAGCCGAUCUGAGAGGCUGAUCGGCCACACUGGAACUGAGACACGGUCCAGACUCCUACGGGAGGCAGCAGUAGGGAAUCUUCCGCAAUGGGCGAAAGCCUGACGGAGCAACGCCGCGUGAGUGAUGAAGGUCUUCGGAUCGUAAAACUCUGUUAUUAGGGAAGAACAAAUGUGUAAGUAACUAUGCACGUCUUGACGGUACCUAAUCAGAAAGCAACGGCUAACUACGUG